CAGCAAACAAUUGAGAAAAUAUAACACGGUAUGAUUAGAUGAAAACCAAAAUUUCCAGCAGUUACCACGAUCUCCACGAAGAACGACUGCCAGGGCGCACGAUUGGAAACUGAAGACGGACGUGGGAGAUGAUCGGAGGAGAGAUGGCUUCAUCACUAUUCACCCCACUCUCAAUCUACGGUUCAUAUAAAAGGAGAAAACGGAAAGAGGAGCAGAGCAAACUCAAACCCAGAAAGAGGAAAAAAUUGGUAUCAAAAUCGGUGAUUGCAGAUAAGGUAUUGUGUGCAGAGUGGAUUCUCAAUCAAACCCAAAAGGCAGAGUAAAAUAGGUGUAACUUGGGCGACAGAGUGGCAGAUUCAGUGAAGUGGGUGGUUACCGGAAGUUUCUCAUGACCUCUUCGUGCAAAUUAUGCUUCCAAAAAAUUAAUCCAUGAGGCAGGGGCUCUCGACACAGUUCCUGUAAGCUCUUUGUUACUGUUACGAUUUCAAUCCUCUUUGUUACCGCUUGACUUUCUUUCAAUUUUUGUAGGUAAAUGUAUGGGAGAAUUCUAGACAUUGUAAAAGUUGGUUUCCUCUAAUAUUAGUUGCAAGUAGUGUUUCUGUCUCCUAUGUUCUUUUUCCUUCAAUUAAUCAAUUGGUCUGCAAUUUAGGGGGAAGCAGGUGCUUCAAUCUCAUUGUUUUUUUUUUUUGGUAUCAAGUAGAGAAGGUACUGUUUGAUUGAGAAUCUGCAGUAAAUUGGUUUUGCUGAAUAAGGAACUAACAUACCCAAGAGUGAGUGGAAUCAUGUUCAGUUUGAAUGAAAAUUUGAUUUGAGGAGUAAUCAACCAUUGACUCUCCCUUUUGUGUUGCAUAUUCCUGAUCAUUGGUUCCAGAUCACUUUUUCUUUCGGUUUGCUCAGUUAUUCUUCUUCUACUUAAAAUGGAUAGUGGGCCGAGAAGUGACCGUGGAGCUCAAGAACGACUUUGCAAUUAGGGGUACCUCUUAGUGAUUGUUCAUUUCAUGUGUAUGAUGUACCAAGGUCAUUGCAUAAUUUGAUGCUUAGAAGGGGUUGGUCUCUUUCAUUACUAAAUGUUAUUGUAGUAUUCUGCUUCUUUUUAAUUUCUUUUGUUCCAGGCUACUUACUGUUUUCGAAUAUCAUGAUGGCCUCAAUGAAAUUUGUACAUUUCAGACUCUCACUUUUGUGUUGCAUUUUAUUUUGUUUUAUAUUUGUUUGAUUUAGGUGCAAAGCCGGUGAGAUUGUAGUAUGUUUAGGUUCUUCGGCUUUUGUUCCUGACUAUGAGUUACUUAUGUUGGAUUUAGUAAGAUCGACCACCGCAGAGGGCAAAGGAGAAUAUAUUGGUUACUGGUCAGCAUAUAUAUAUAUAUAUAUAUAUAUAUAUUUCAAGAAGUAAAAGAAGAUAGUAAGUAUUGCUGGAAGCACCACAGUUGCAGGUGAUGUUUUGUUUUCUUUGGGCCAGGUUCCUUCAUCACGCUCUCACACACCUAAUGAUGACCAGGGACCUAACCAUAUUCAUGUACAAGAGGCAGAAAGGCAGAGUAGAAAUAAUCCCCCAGGAGAGACGAGACAAUCAAUGAGUUCUUCACUCUCUGGUUCAUCUCACUCUUCCCGACCCAAUGAAGACCAGGGACAUGCUCAGCUUCAUGCAUUAGAGGGUGAAAGGCAGCGUAGAAAUAAUCGUCAAAGAGAGAGACGACGAUUAUUGAGUUCUUCGCAACUAGAGGAAAGUUUAGCCCGAAGACGUGCCAAUUAUCAAAGACUACAGCAAAUGGAGCCCACAAGUGUAUUAAAUCAAGUGGAAGCAAUGGCCGGUAACUUACUGAGUGCAUGUUCUGAAACACAAACAUCUUCAACGUAUUGUAUACGUGUUUUGCAUAAUUUUCUUUCUACUUUCAUGAACAAAAAUAAUAUUCUAUAUAUGUAGGUUGGAAAAAUUAACAGUUUUGAUAGAAAUAUAUUUUUUUUUUCAGGAA